rnacentral:pre_miRNA from 1 species
AUGUGAAUUAAUUAGGGAUCUUGUUAAGAUACAGAUUCUUAUUCUAUAGGUAAGGGGUAGGCCUGAGAUUCUGAAUUUUUAACAAAUGUCACACUGCACUU